UCUCGCAACGAGCGCAACCCUUGUCCUGUGUUGCCAGCACGUAAUGGUGGGGACUCGCAGGAGACUGCCGGGGUCAACUCGGAGGAAGGUGGGGACGACGUCAAGUCAUCAUGCCCCUUAUGUCCAGGGCUUCACACAUGCUACAAUGGCCGGUACAGAGGGCUGGGAUACCGCGAGGUGGAGCGAAUCCCUUAAAGCCGGUCUCAGUUCGGAUCGGGGUCUGCAACUCGACCCCGUGAAGUUGGAGUCGCUAGUAAUCGCAGAUCAGCAACGCUGCGGUGAAUACGUUCCCGGGCCUUGUACACACCGCCCGU
rnacentral:rRNA from 1 species